rnacentral:rRNA from 1 species
ACCUGCCCACUGAGUUUUAAAUGGCCGCAGUAUAUUAACUGUGCAAAGGUAGCAUAAUCAUUAGUCUUUUAAUUGAAGGCUGGUAUGAAUGGUUGGACGAAAUAUUAGCUGUUUCAAAUGAAUUUAUAAUAGAAUUUUAUUUUUUAGUUAAAAAGCUAAAAUUUGUUUAAAAGACGAGAAGACCCUAUAAAUCUUUAUAUUUUGUUGUAUUUUAGUUAUAAAGAAUUAUUUUAUUAAAAUAUAAUAAAAUAUUUUAUUGGGGUGAUAUUAAAAUUUAAUAAACUUUUAAUUUAUUAAAUCAUUUAUUUAUGAAUAAUUGAUCCAAUAUUAUUGAUUAAAAAUUUAAGUUACUUUAGGGAUAACAGCGUAAUUUUUUUGGAGAGUUCUUAUCGAUAAAAAAGAUUGCGACCUCGAUGUUGGAUUAAGAGAUAUUUUUAGGUGUAGCCGCUUAAAUAUAAAGUCUGUUCGACUUUUAAAUUCUU